rnacentral:rRNA from 1 species
AUACGGAGGGUGCAAGCGUUACUCGGAAUCACUGGGCGUAAAGCGCGCGCAGGCGGGCUGAUAAGUGGGAUGUGAAAGCCUACGGCUCAACCGUAGAACUGCAUCCAAAACUGUCAGUCUAGAGUGUGGGAGAGGAAGAUGGAAUUAGUUGUGUAGGGGUAAAAUCCGUAGAGAUAACUAGGAAUACCAAAAGCGAAGGCAAUCUUCUGGAACACUACUGACGCUGAGGCGCGAAGGCGUGGGGAGCAAACAGGAUUAGAAACCCCGGUAGUCC